rnacentral:lncRNA from 1 species
UGUAAUGAUGUUGACCGAUGGCCUGCCCCAGUGCCAGGGAAAACGCUGCACCUGCCUAUCAUGGGACUAGUAAUGAAGGUAACAACUGACUAGAGUCUCAUCUGUCUGCUCUGAAGAACUCUACAGAAAGCUCGCUCACACAUAGGGUUUGUUUUAAACAACCUGAUGACAUUUAGUGAUGUUAAUGCCUUCACUGUUGUCAUUGCUGGGAGACCUUACAGAUACACCACAGUUGAUCCCGCCUCGAAGAGUCCUUCAUACAUCUCCAGGCCCCUCCAGCCAGGCAGUGCACCUAAAGGAUUAGUGCAGCAAUGGUAUUUCUCCCUGUGGACUAUGCACAGAUAAAAGUGCUUCCCUCUAAAAUCCUACAAUAUGGGUGGUAAGAAGGGGAAGAACACUCGUAGUCUUGGGUGUGAAUUGCUGGAAAUUAAGAUUAAACUAGAAAAGUCAUUGUUUUUUGGGUUUGUUUUUUUUUUUUUUUUUCCAGCUCUAAAUGGUCUUUUAACAUUUAGUGUCAGACCAAGCAUGUUUUUUCUUGGAAUAUUUUUGUUAUGGUGAGGAUUUUUUUAUUUUUCCUUUCAUUGCUUUUUUGUGUAUUGGAGAUUGAACCCAGGGCCUCCUAAGGGCUAGGCAAGUGCUUCACCUCUGAGUUAUAGUCCUCCCAUUGCUUUGUUUUGAAGGAAUUUGAAUUUUACUGGCAGAUUUUGUCUGAGUGCACGCAAGUUCUUUGCUAUUCAUGCUCUUGUGACCUUGGACUUAUCCUUAACUGCGUUCCUUCCUUAGAGUUUCGUGAUUUGUAAGUGUAUUUGCCCCGACCCCUUCAGCAAACAUAACAAUUCUGAAAGCUUGGGGUUGAGGGUUCCCAUUGUUUCCUGUGGGGUUUAUUCAGAAGUUUGGCAGGCUUGAGAGGGUGUGUUUGGGUGUGUGUAUUUGUGAAGCAGAGACUGGAAAAGUGAGCAGGAAGCCAUGUGAUAGACUGCUGUCCUGACUGUUUCCAGCACAUUUGCUUCUGUGUUUAGUGAUCUCCAUUUGUAGACAUGGGAACUUUGGUUUCCCUGCUCCUGCUGUAACUAAGAAUGAACACCCUUAGUUCUAAAACCCCGCAGAAACACUUGCUCUUUAGAGCACUUUCAAAGUGCUGAGUGUGCUAGGUAGAGCACUUGCCAUACAGAUAAAUAAUAGCUCCUCUCUGUCUUUAAGGUUCGGAUUCCCACGUGUCAUGACAAGCCUGGGACCACGCAGAUGGUGCAGUUAACUCAGCAGGUAGCAUGAUGCUAAAGUGACCGUGGCGCAGCCUGGUCACUGAAACACCCGUUACUUUUAAAUAGUUGGUGAUAAAUUUUCUAACAUUUCUUGUUAGAAAUGUUGUUACUACCUCAGUAGGUCCUGGAGAACCCCACGUUCAUGUUGUAAUUGUGAGGACUAAAUGACAGUAAACACUUUAAAGAAGGUUUAACUCUGGCAAAAGGUGUUCUCUUACAAGAAUAGGCAACUGAAUUCUAAUUUUAGACCGUUAAGUCAGAAGGAUCCUGGAGCUUUUCUUUUUCUGAAAGCAGUUUCUGUUCCUGCGGGUUUGAAUCUUUCAUUUGAAAUACUUGAGCUGCUUUGUUACCAUCCCCACUGUGCUUCAAGUAAGGCUACAGGACAGCAGGAGACCUGAGUGCUGGUUACACAUCCCCUAGUGUUGAUGUACAGCUGGGACCCAGGCUCACAUCUGGCCUUGGGCUGAUUCCUACCCACAGAGUUUGUGCUUUUCUCUGCUGUAUUGUUGGAGACUUGUAAGAUCCAUUCUCUCUGGCUGCUCCUGGAAGAGCAACUUGUCAGAAUGGACUGAGUGAUAGGGCUCAUUGGUUGUGAGAUAGUUGUGUUGUCAUUUUCAUUUAUUUACUAUGUGUUUUGAGACAGGGUCUCACUGUGUAGCCCUGUCUGUCCAGGAACUUGCUAGUGAGGCUGAGCUUGAACUCACAUCAAUUCUCCUGCCUCUGCUUUUGAGUGCUGGUUUACAGUCUAGUCAUGUACCAUCAUUUUGCUUACUAUAGCCAGAUGUGGUGGUACACACCUUUAGUUCCAACAGUAAUCUCUCGUGAGUCCAUUAUCCUGGACUCUGUGGUGAUUUCAGGACAGCCAAGGCUAUACUGUUAGAUCCUGUUUUAAACAAAAACAAAAAUGAAUUUCUAUCAAUUUUCGUAACAUCUCCCGUACUUUUUCCUUCCUUUUCUAACCCUUUAGGCAGAUACACACACAUCUAUUAUUUUGCCUACUGUUCACGAGGUGGAUCUUUUCAGGUAAAGAAUAAAAAAGAUGUGAAAUACUUUGUCUUUAUAAUUUGUGAUAAUUGUUAUUAACUUAUGGAAAGUGUGAAUUAAGCUGGAAGGAAAUACUCAUUAUGGGCCCCAAAGAUUCUUGAAAAGUUAAAAACCAAAUAUUCAUUGGGUUUUAAUGGUAAAGUCCAGUGGUUCAUCCGUCCGGCUGCAAGAAAGCUGAGGUGCGCUUUAGGUGCUACGUGGUCAAAUAGACGGGUUUGUUUCAUUUGCUCUGAGAAUUGUAUUGUGGUGAAGCUAGAAAAAGUAGUUAAAUUUGGGGUGAAAUAUCAUGAGAUUUAUUCCUUUUGU